GAGUGGAAUUUUAUAAAAUCUCCAUACCAAUUGGUUGAGACUUCAUUUUGUCAAAGAUUUGCAGCGGCUAUUCUUAUGUCAAUUGCAGCCUUUAUUUGGUGUUGUUGGAAGGAGCAGAAUGCCCGCAUCUUUUUUAACAAGCAAUCUUCAAUCAUAGUUACUACCUAUAACCUUCAUCAUUUUGAUACUUGGUAUCUAUUGUGUGAUUAG
rnacentral:lncRNA from 1 species